CCUACGGGCGGCUGCAGUGGGGAAUAUUGCACAAUGGGGGAAACCCUGAUGCAGCGACGCCGCGUGAGUGAAGAAGUAUUUCGGUAUGUAAAGCUCUAUCAGCAGGGAAGAAAAUGACGGUACCUGAUUAAGAAGCCCCGGCCAACUACGUGCCAGCAGCCGCGGGAAUACGUAGGGGGCAAGCGUUAUCCGGAUUUACUGGGUGUAAAGGGAGCGUAGACGGCAGCAUAAGUCUGGAGUGAAAUGCCGGGGCUUAACCCCGGAACUGCUUUGGAAACUGUGCAGCUAGAGUGCAGGAGAGGUAAGUGGAAUGCCUAGUGUAGCGGUGAAAUGCGUAGAUAUUAGGAGGAACACCAGUGGCGAAGGCGGCUUACUGGACUGUAACUGACGUUGAGGCUCGAAAGCGUGGGGAGCAAACAGGAUUAGAUACCCCAGUAGUC
rnacentral:rRNA from 1 species